CUGAGUUACUACUCUUAACCCUUUGUGAACUUUACUAGUGUUGCUUCGGCAGGUUUUCCCUGGGAGGGAAUUCAGUCAGAAAUGAUAACCUGCCAGAGGCAUCCAAAUUCUAAAUUUCAAUAGACUUUUUCUGAGUCAUUUUUCAAAAAAAAUAA
rnacentral:misc_RNA from 1 species